UACGUAGGGUGCAAGCGUUAUCCGGAAUUAUUGGGCGUAAAGAGCUCGUAGGCGGUUUGUCGCGUCUGCCGUGAAAGCCCAGGGCUUAACCCUGGGUCUGCGGUGGGUACGGGCAGACUAGAGUGUGGUAGGGGAGACUGGAAUUCCCGGUGUAGCGGUGAAAUGCGCAGAUAUCAGGAGGAACACCGAUGGCGAAGGCAGGUCUCUGGGCCACUACUGACGCUGAGAAGCGAAAGCAUGGGGAGCAAACAGG
rnacentral:rRNA from 1 species